rnacentral:rRNA from 1 species
GACGAACGCUGGCGGCGUGCUUAACACAUGCAAGUCGAACGGAAAGGCCCUGCUUGCAGGGUACUCGAGUGGCGAACGGGUGAGUAACACGUGGGUGAUCUGCCCUGCACUUCGGGAUAAGCUUGGGAAACUGGGUCUAAUACCGGAUAGGAACCAUCUUUAGUGUGGUGGUUGGAAAGUUUUUUCGGUGUAGGAUGAGCUCGCGGCCUAUCAGCUUAUUGGUGGGGUAAUGGCCUACCAAGGCGGCGACGGGUAGCCGGCCUGAGAGGGUGUACGGCCACAUUGGGACUGAGAUACGGCCCAGACUCCUACGGGAGGCAGCAGUGGGGAAUAUUGCACAAUGGGCGCAAGCCUGAUGCAGCGACGCCGCGUGGGGGAUGAAGGCCUUCGGGUUGUAAACUCCUUUCGCUAGGGACGAAGCUUUUUGUGACGGUACCUAGAUAAGAAGCACCGGCUAACUACGUG